rnacentral:misc_RNA from 1 species
UUUCCGUAGGUGAACCUGCGGAAGGAUCAUUACUGAGUGAGGGCCCCUCGGGGUCCAACCUCCCACCCGUGUUUAACGAACCUUGUUGCUUCGGCGGGCCCGCCUCACGGCCGCCGGGGGGCAUCUGCCCCCGGGCCCGCGCCCGCCGAAGCCACCUGUGAACGCUGUCUGAAGUAUGCAGACUGAGACAAUUAUUAAAUUAAUUAAAACUUUCAACAACGGAUCUCUUGGUUCCG